rnacentral:rRNA from 1 species
GAUGAACGCUGGCGGCGUGCCUAAUACAUGCAAGUCGAGCGAACAGAUAAGGAGCUUGCUCCUUUGACGUUAGCGGCGGACGGGUGAGUAACACGUGGGUAACCUACCUAUAAGACUGGGAUAACUUCGGGAAACCGGAGCUAAUACCGGAUAACAUUUGGAACCGCAUGGUUCUAAAGUGAAAGAUGGUUUUGCUAUCGCUUAUAGAUGGACCCGCGCCGUAUUAGCUAGUUGGUAAGGUAACGGCUUACCAAGGCGACGAUACGUAGCCGACCUGAGAGGGUGAUCGGCCACACUGGAACUGAGACACGGUCCAGACUCCUACGGGAGGCAGCAGUAGGGAAUCUUCCGCAAUGGGCGAAAGCCUGACGGAGCAACGCCGCGUGAGCGAUGAAGGGUUUCGGCUCGUAAAACUCUGUUAUUAGGGAAGAACAAAUGUGUAAGUAACUGUGCACGUCUUGACGGUACCUAAUCAGAAAGCCACGGCUAACUACGUG